GUGGGGAAUCUUGCGCAAUGGGCGAAAGCCUGACGCAGCCAUGCCGCGUGAAUGAUGAAGGUCUUAGGAUUGUAAAAUUCUUUCACCGGGGACGAUAAUGACGGUACCCGGAGAAGAAGCCCCGGCUAACUCCGUGCCAGCAGCCGCGGUAAUACGAAGGGGGCUAGCGUUGCUCGGAAUUACUGGGCGUAAAGGGCGCGUAGGCGGACAGUUUAGUCAGAGGUGAAAGCCCAGGGCUCAACCUUGGAAUUGCCUUUGAUACUGGCUGUCUUGAGUACGGGAGAGGUGAGUGGAACUCCGAGUGUAGAGGUGAAAUUCGUAGAUAUUCGGAAGAACACCAGUGGCGAAGGCGACUCACUGGCCCGUUACUGACGCUGAGGCGCGAAAGCGUGGGGAGCAAACAGGAUUAGAAACCCUUGUAGUCC
rnacentral:rRNA from 1 species